rnacentral:rRNA from 1 species
GACGAACGCUGGCGGCGUGCUUAACACAUGCAAGUCGAACGGACAGGCGCUGAGUUUGUGGGGUGCUCGAUUGGCGAACGGGGGAGUAACACGUGAGUAACCUGCCCUUGACAUUGGGAUAACUUCAGGAAACUGGGGCUAAUACCGGAUAGGAGCUCCUGCUGCAUGGGGGGGGUUGGAAAGAUUCGGCGGUUUGGGAUGGACUCGCGGGUUAUGAGCUUGUUGGUGGGGUAGUGGCUUACCAAGGCUUUGACGGGUAGCCGGCCUGAGAGGGUGAACGGGCACAUUGGGCCUGAGAUACGGCGCAGACUGCUACGGGCGGCAGUAGGGGGGAAUAUUACACAGCGGGCGGAAGUCUGAUGCAGCAACGCUGGGAGCGGGAUGACGGCCUUCGGGUUGAAAACCGCUGUGGCCUGUGACGAAGCGUGCGUGACGGUAAUGGGUAAAGAAGCAACGGCUAACUACGUG